GUCCACGCCCUAACGAUGUCAACUGGUUGUUGGGAGGGUUUCUUCUCAGUAACGAAGCUAACGCGUGAAGUUGACCGCCUGGGAGUACGGCCGCAAGGUUGAAACUCAAAGGAAUUGACGGGACCCGCACAAGCGGUGGAUGAUGUGGUUUAAUUCGAUGCAACGCGAAACCUUACCUACCCUUGACAUGUCUGGAAUCCUGAAGAGAUUUGGGAGUGCUCGAAAGAGAGCCAGAACACAGGUGCUGCAUGGCCGUCGU
rnacentral:rRNA from 1 species